CCUCUCAUCUUCACCUCCUGAGGAAAAUAAUAAAUUGUACACAAAUAGGUAAAUGCUAGUAAAGGUUACUAAACAGAAAGGUUUUUCUAAAAAGUUAUUUCCAAAAACUUGACCUCACUCUUUGCAUACAAACUUUACUGGAAAUUCACCACAGAAAGACCAUGGAAUACAUAUUUAGCUUACUUCUUGCUAAAACUUACAGAGAGCUAAAAAUAUGGUAUGUAUAAUGUUUUCCAAAACACAUGGACUGAAAAGUAAAGGGAAAAAAGCACUAUGAUUCACUAAAAAGUAAGGAAUGCAUUUCUAUACAAAAUACAAAUUAAAAUGAUAGAUUUUAGAUUUAAAACAAUGAUGCAAGUUGUGUAGCCUAUUUAAAA